GAGAAGAACGUAGCGAAAUGCGAUAAGUAAUGUGAAUUGCAGAAUUCAGUGAAUCAUCGAAUCUUUGAACGCACAUUGCGCCCCCCAGUAUUCUGGCGGGCAUGCCUGUUCGAGCGUCAUUUCAACCAUCAAGCCCUGCUUGUGUUGGGGUCCUGCGGCUGCCCGCAGGCCCUGAAAACCAGUGGCGGGCUCGCUAGUCACACCGAGCGCAGUAGCACAUCUCGCUCAGGGCGUGCGGCGGGCUCCAGCCGUUAAAGCACCCACCUUUCGCAAGGUUGACCUCGGAUCAGGUAGGAAUACCCGCUGAACUUAAGCAUAUCAAUAAGCGGAGGA
rnacentral:misc_RNA from 1 species